rnacentral:rRNA from 1 species
AACGCUGGCGGCGUGCCUAACACAUGCAAGUCGAACGGAAGUAUACGUUGCAGAGAUUCGGUCAAAGCUUGUGAUACUUAGUGGCGGACGGGCGAGUAACGCGUGGGCAACCUGCCUCAUACUGGGGGAUAGCAGUUGGAAACGACUGAUAAUACCGCAUAAGCGCACAGCAUCGCAUGAUGCAGUGUGAAAAAACUCCGGUGGUAUGAGAUGGGCCCGCGUCAGAUUAGCCAGUUGGCAGGGUAACGGCCUACCAAAGCGACGAUCUGUAGCCGGCCUGAGAGGGCGGACGGCCACAUUGGGACUGAGACACGGCCCAAACUCCUACGGGAGGCAGCAGUGGGGGAUAUUGCACAAUGGAGGGAACUCUGAUGCAGCGACGCCGCGUUGAGUGAAGAAGUAUUUCGGUAUGUAAAGCUCUAUCAGCAGGGAAGAAAGACUCGCAAGAGAGAUGACGGUACCUGACUAAGAAGCCCCGGCUAACUACGUGCCAGCCGCCGC